AGGCAUGCAAAGGCUGCUUUAUACAGAUGAUUGUGACACCGAACAUGAGGUUGAUUUGAAUGGUUAUCCUAAAGUGACCCGCCAAAUUGAAGGGCAAAUAUGCCACUGCUCUUGAAGUCUUAAAAUAGUAUCUCUUCUUGUUGAAUCCAUGGGAAUAGAAAAAAAGAAAUUGUGGUCAGGCCAUAUGAGAAGGAAUGCCAAAAAAAAGUCACCAUAUCCAUUUAGUACUUGGUAACAAAAGGUAAGAAAAGAUAUUGAAUACUGUACUAUUUUUAGUAUCCAUUCCCGCAUAGUGCUAAGUAUGUCUUGCGUCUAAAGCGUGUUACUCCUUCUACCUUCUCCACCUCUAACAGUAAUAAGCCCAGUCACCUAAGUUCAAACUCUGAGUCAACUUUGACUCAAGCUUCUCAUUGAUUCCCUAGAGCCAUUGGUUACCAAUUUAGAUUUCGUUAUCUCUUGAAACUGUUGUACCUCUAAGUACUCUAAAAUUCUCUUAUUUGAACAUGUCCACUUCCUUCCACCUUUCCUAGUCCAUACCCACUCUGCUUGUGCUUUUCUGUUUGGUAUUCUACAAGCCUUUUUCCCAUUCAACUUUUCCAUCUAUCUCAUGUCUGUCCCUACCCAACUAUUACUCUGCUGUCCAACAUGUCAGUACGUACUCAAAAGCACUCCUCAUUAAUUCGCUACCCAAUUCUCCAGUUGCUCCUAGCCCCAACCCUGGAAAUAGCCAUUGUCCAUUUUCUCCUCUACUGUUCCCAGACUAAUUAAUGCUGGUAGGCAAUGACAUACAAUAGUAGCAUGUUGAUCAGGCCCCUUGCAAGUGAAAGAAAAAUUCUAAAUUCAUUAGUUAGAAUUUUGAAAACAAAACAUCUGUCCUAAUACAUCUACUUGGUUCUGAAAAACUGUGAUUACUGUAAUUAUUGGAGGUUUCUGUAACCCGAAUACUUAACUGGGUCUUACAUGAAAAUUAUUUUUAAAAGAUUAAAAGUGGAGCGUCUAUUGUGCUGACAGAAUUUUCUUUAGGAUUUACGUGAGUCUAAUCUGAUAGAAUGGAGGAAUGUAAUUGAAAACUAGGAAGAGAAAUCUAGGCAUGGAACUUCAUCAUUCUAACAUUUUUUUCCCCCAAUUAAAAGCAACAUAUCAGCAUGUGUUUUUCAAAUACAGGCAGUCCCUAUCUUACAAGUGGCUUGUAGACAGAUGUAGGGCAUAUGAUUGUUUGAAUCCUGAUUACUCAAGUGGGAAAACUUUGCUUUAGAUGUCAGUUGUUUGGAAUCCAGAAAGCAUUUUCCUACCAAGGCAGUGUUAUAAAUGGUGGUUGGGCUCCCCUAGGAUAGCCAAUAAUGUUACUGAAAUACUAUAUAUUUGCAGUGAAACAGUAGUGAACACAUUUAUGAUAUACUACUAAUUAAACAAAAGCAAUAACAUUGAAUAAGAUCAUUUUAUAUUUUGGGCUUGAGUGGUGGUGCUUGAGGAAAAACAGGUUUAAUUAUAAGAGGAUGAAAAAGUAGAUGGAGACUGUGUGAAGUCUCAAAAUAGGGCUCAUGAGCAUUUUUGAAGACUUCAAAUGACACAUGUUCUUUAUCAAGUCAAACUGAUUUUAAAACUUGUGAAUUUCUACUUCCCUUUUUGUGGUUAUGAGUGUUUUGUAGUACAACUAUUGUGCUAUGAUUCUGGUCAGUUUUUGACUAGUGAUGAAAAUAAAACAAGGGAAGAGGAUAAAGAGGAGGAUAUGGUGCCAGAGGAAAAUUUUGAGAAGAGGGGGCUUAUAUGCAAAUGUGAGGAUUAAAAAAAACAACUUUAUACUUUAGCAUUCCACAAGCACCGGCAACCAAAGGAAAAGGAAUUUUUUUCUUUUUCCUUGCUUAGUUCUUAGGCCAUCCUGUAUAAAUAUCCUAAAUAGAGAUAAAAGUUGCAAUAAGUUAAAGAGGCUAAGUUGAGCCACACUAUAAGGAGAUGAUAUGUAAACCACAAAGCUUGCAUGAGCUGAGAUAGGAAAAUAGUUAUUUAUUUGCUUUUGUUGUUGUUAUUUGUUUUUUUGUCUUCAGUUAUGUCUUAAUCUGUUUAGUGUUGCUAUAAAGGAAUACCUGAGGCUGGGUAAUUUAUAAAGAAAAGAGAUUUAUUUGGCUCAUGUUUCUGCAGACUGCACAGGAAGCACAGUGCCAGCAUCUGCUUCUGGUGAGGGCUUUAGGUUAAUUCCACUUAUGGCAGAAGGAGAAGGGGAGCUGGCAUGUGCAGAGUCCAAAUGAGAAGAGAGAGAGAGGGAAGGGAGCUUACAGGACUUUUUGUUUUUGUUUUUUUGUUUUGUUUUUUGUUUUUGUUUUUAACAACCAGCUUUCUCAGGAACUAACAGAGCAAGAACUCACUCAUUACCACAAGGAAGACAUCAAGUCAUUCAUGAGGGAUCCACCUCCAUGACCCAAAUUCCUCCCAUCAGGCCCCACUUCCAACAUUGGGGAUCAAAUUUCAACAUGAGGUUUGGGGGAUAAACAUUUAAACUACAGAAAGUUGUAGGGGCUAUAUCUUGGAAGAGGGAAGGAUAUGUUGGAAGUGUGCUACCUUCUAAGUGUCAAAGGUUGAGUCAGAGGAAUAUAGAAAAAAAAGGCCAAGGUGGGCGGAUCACAAGGUCAGGAGACCAGCUUCGCCAACUUGGUGAAACCCCGUAUCUACAAAAAACUAUGUAUGCUGGGCGUGGUGGCGCACGUCUGUAAUCUCAGCUACUCGGGAGACUGAGGCAGGAUAAUCACUUGAACCUGGGAGGCGGAGGUUGCAGUGAGCUGAGAUGGUGCCACUGCACUCCAGCCUGGGUGGCAGAGCAAGACUCUGUCUCAAAAAAAAAAAAAAGGGUGUUAGUUCUGUUGAAUCCUCCUUUGAUAUCCUUGGAAUAUCAAGUAGGAUAUCAAAUCCUCCUUUGAUAUCCUACUUACAUUGUUUUUCAGUCAUGUUUUGUAUUCACAUUCAUUUUUACUUGGAUGUGACUCUGUACUGGUAGGGAACUAUGAAGUAGCUUGGCUUUAUUCAAGUUAUAUAUGUGUGAUAGAUUUCCCAAGAUCACAUUAAUUGAGCUGUCAGUGGGAGACAAAAGAGUAUGAUUACUCUAAAGAGGAAGAAUAGAGGAGGUAGAAGAAGAGAGAUAGAGAGCCACAUAGUUAAUUCUCUUUGCUGUUUACCAACUGAUCAACCAACAAUUAUUCAACAAAUUUUUCUUGUGCUGUGUUCUAGGCAAUGUGCUAAGUGCUUAGAGACGCAGUGAGAAAGUACUUGGAAUACGAUAGUAUACAUAUUACAUCUGCCCUCAUAUGUUUUACAGAGUGUGCAGGGGAGGGUACAGAUAAGUAGAUAAGGAAUUAUAAUGAAUUGUGUUAAGUGCUAAUGUGGAGGUACUGUUGAGUAUUAAGGGCAUAUAUAGAAAAAUCACCUAAAUCUGACUUUCAGAAUUAGCACACAUCCUAGAGCAUUCUAAACUCAUGUGAAAAGAUGUGUCAGAGUGAAACAGGAAAAGAGAAGUUAGGUGAGAGGCAAAUAUUCCUAACAGAAGAAAUAAUGUUUAAGAUUCAAUCAUAUGGCAAGAAGCCUAGAGAGAGUACUGGAAAAAAAAAUUGCCAAAGAGAGAUUUCUACUUCUGAAAAUUAUAUAGUAACUUGUGGCAGAACAAUGCUCUGCCAAGAAUAUCUACAUAAGCCAGAUAACAGACAAAAAGUCUGUUUGAAGGCAUUGGAAAGUAGCCAAGACAGCCAGGGCUUGAGAAGUUAAAAUCUCCAGCAAGGAAAACUACAAAGAAAUGAGGCAUAUUUCCUUUUGGGGCAUUUGCCAAUUCUUACAGCAUGAUACAGAGAAGUCACCAGAAGUUCCAGCUAUCUUAUAGGCUUAGAGAGAGAGGAAAACAGUGAGGGCUGUCAAGGCAGUCAGUACUGAAGGAGGCCAAAAUCCUGAAGAGAGUAGAUAAGUAGAGAAAGGAACUUGCGCUCAGUAGUUUUAACCUCCAGGCAUUUGCCAAAUCCUUAAGUUGUUCAUGGGACGAAAAAGCCUAACUCAUCAAGCAAUAAGUGACUGAAAAGCACUCAUAGUAUAAAAGAAAUAGAAAAUAACAUUCAGGGCCCUCCACAGAGGAGCAGCCCAAAGAAACACCCAAGAAUUUCAUUUGAGACUCUUAAAGAACCUACCCUUUAGGAAUUGGUAUGAACUAAAUAUAGACUGAACUUUUGAAAGACUGCAACUUCACCUAUUUGUUAGUUGAUUCCUUGGUUAGAUUAAGGUGAUCUGCCUCUACUCCAGCUGCCCAUAAAUGAUAGAGAGAACCCUCUCUGGAGGAAAAUAUCAUCUAGUGGCUCUAAGAUUUUUGCAAACAAAAUGUCUAUAUUUAAUCAUGCAUUAGUUGGCUUAUGAAGAAACUGAACCAAGGGAAAAAUCAGACAAUAGAAAUAGACCUACCAAUGAUUCAGAUAUUAACAUUCUCAUAGACUUUUAAAUUAGCAUGAUUUUUAAAAUUACUAUGAUUAAUAAGUUUAAGAAAAUAGAUGACAGUAUGGAGAAUCUCUCCAAGGAACUGGAAUCCAUUAAAAAAAAAAAAAAAAAAA
ensembl:lncRNA